rnacentral:rRNA from 1 species
AUACGUAGGGGGCAAGCGUUAUCCGGAAUUACUGGGCGUAAAGGGUGCGUAGGCGGUUUAUCAAGUCAGGGGUGAAAGGCUACGGCUCAACCGUAGUGAGCCUCUGAAACUGGUGAACUUGAGUGUAGGAGAGGAAAGUGGAAUUCCCAGUGUAGCGGUGAAAUGCGUAGAUAUUGGGAGGAACACCAGUGGCGAAGGCGACUUUCUGGACUACAACUGACGCUGAGGCACGAAAGCGUGGGGAGCAAACAGGAUUAGAUACCCUGGUAGUCCACGCCGUAAACGAUGAGUACUAGGUGUAGGAGACAACAACCUUCUGUGCCGCAGCUAACGCAAUAAGUACUCCGCCUGGGGAGUACGCUCGCAAGAGUGAA